CAGAUGCUCCCGACCAGCUUUCAAACGCGCGCGAGCGUGCUCGAGCCUUUUACGUGCACGCGAGAUUAGGCUGCUCGCAGGACGAAGCCGGUGAGAAUGUGUGAGCGCUCGUCUUCGGCCGCCGGAGCCCCGGGAAGAUGUCGGUGAUGACUCCGUACCGGGAAACCCGUAGCUAACGGCUGCUACUCCUGCGACCAUUGGAUGUUGUUUUUAAAACUUUUCCUUAGGACGGUUGUUUUUGCGGUGUGGGGAUAAAAAAACACCACCCGGAGGGACAGGUGUCACCCCCCUUCUCCCUCCAGUUUUGUGUUUCCUUUCCCCCUCAUACUUUUUUUUUUUUUUUUGGAAACCGAGUGGGACCUUGGGGUGCCAUGCUGUGGACACGCUGGCUCGUGCUGCUGCUCUGUUGGGGGGCCACAGGCAGCGAGCAGCAGGCGGAUGAGAGGGGCGCGGUACCGGCUGAGGUCCGGUCGGACUCCCGCAGAGAGCGCUCACCUCCGCCGGUGGAGCCGCUGGAUUUUGGGUUUGUACCCGCGGCGGUUUACGACACCCACGCUUAUUACGAGCCAGGGAGCAUGGGGAUCCUCUUCCAUAUGGUCCACGCGUUUCUCUACAUCAUUCAGCCGAACCCCUUUCCCAAAGAUGUCAUUGUCAAAGUCAUUCAGCAAAACAUGGGUGGAAUCAAAAUAGAGGAAUGGAGAAAGCCAGAAAACGUCGUCUUGUUGUUGCAGUGGAUCCAGUACGAGUCCGGAUUUCUCAUAUGUGCAACCUUCGGCGUCGUGUUUGUGGUCCUUAUCCCCGUCAUAGCUAUGUGUUUCUGCAUGUGUCGAUGCUGUGAUAACUGUGGAGGGGAGAUGCAUCAGAGACAGAGGAAAAAUGCAGACUGUCACAGAGGUUUCUAUACCGCCUCGCUGGUUGCUACAACCAUCUUCAUCAUUGUGGGUGUUCUCAUUGCUCUCGCCGCAAACCACAACAUCAGCUCACAGGUCAAAAGCACUCGGCGGCUCAUUAACACCAACAUGAGAGACCUGAAGACGUUCGCUAACAACACGCCUGCACAAGUCGAUUACCUGACAGCCCAGUACACCACAGCCAAGAACAAAGUCCUGUCAGACCUCGACAACAUUGGCCCUUUGCUGGGGGGUAGGAUCCACAUUCAGCUGGAGAAAUCAGUGAUUCCUUCGCUGGACACCGCCCUGCGUAUGGCAGGAGCAAAAGUUGAGAGUGCCAUCAAAGCCAUGCGGGAGACCAAAGAGGCCCUGGAGAACGUCAGCUCGUCCUUGGAGGUGCUGCAGGACGGGGUGGGGAAGCUUCAGGCCAGCCUGUCAGGAGAGCGCGCCUCUCUGUCCAACACCCUGUCCGACCCCGCCUGCACGAACGGAGCUGUGUCACAUACCUGUAACACCAUCCGCUCCACACUGUCCCAGCUGGGAAUCAAUGCUGACUUCUCCAAGAUCCCAGAUGUUAAUCAUGCCUUGGCCAAUGUCAAUACUGUCCUGAAAACAGAUCUCAGCAACAUUGUACAAAAGGGUUACGCAUCCUUUAACGACACGCCAAGACUGGUUAAAGAGCAAACAAAAAACAUUGUUGCAGCUCUGCCUCGAGUAAAGGGGAUGCUGGAUAAGAUCGGUGCAGAGAUCACCGGCUUCUCCAAGAUGUUCCCCGUGGAAGCUUCUCUGGCAAAUUUCACCAUUUUCCUAAAUGAAAGACACAAAGCUAUUGAGUCCUAUUACCCCCAAAUCGAUCAGAUGGAUUUUUACAGGUGGAUCGCCUGCGUGGCGGUGCUCUGCAUGGUCGUCUUGGUGAUGGCCUUUAACAUCCUCGGCCUGCUGUGUGGUAACUGUGGCUACGACAAGCAAGCUAGCCCGACCACCCGCGGCUGCCUGUCGAACACUGGGGGAAACCUGCUGAUGGCUGGUGUUGGCUUCUCGUUUAUCUUUGCCUGGGUGCUGAUGGUCAUCGUUACCACCCUGUUUGUUGUCGGGGGCAAUGUGGAAAAGCUGAUAUGUGAAUCUCUGGCUAACAGACAACUGUUUAAGAUCAUUGAUACGCCGUUCCUGGUCCAUCCUGAAAAGAGGAACUUCCUUCCUGGGAUGCUUUUCCAGAAUCCAAAUAUUGAUUUAACUCUAGGCGGCAUGUACAGGGAGUGCUAUGACAACAACGGUCUGUAUCACGCUCUGCAGUUGGAGACCAUGUUCAACAUUAACUCCUUCCUCAACAGAACAGUGUACAACAGGGACCUGGCCAAAGUGUUUGAUAGUGUGCAGGUGGACCUGCAGGGCAUCACGCUGCUGGAGCAGGCUGGCAGAGACAACCUCAUCAACUUUGCCAACUCUGGAAUUGGACAGAUUGACUUUCAGGUUUAUCUCACUGAGGUAAAUAAAGGAGUCACUCUAAUAGAUCUGCUGUCCUUCUGUAGCGACCUGGAGGGUCAGGCUGACCAGCUGCCACGUGGUGCUCUGGAGAACGCACUGAGAGGCCAUGCCAGCAGCAUUAGAUUCAUUCACCGAGAACAGGUGGUGCCACUGGAGCAAGCAAUGAAAUAUGUCAGAGCACGGAGUACGCUGCACCAGAGUGUCAAACAGCUACAGAAGACAUCCAACGACCUGCCAGUCAAAGUCACAAAUGUCCUGAGUGCCAUUGAUGCAGCAGAGUACCUCAUCGCUCAUAAUGCCUCCCACGUGGUGAAGCAGGAAACAAAGGCGUAUGUGCAGGGCUUGGUGGGAUACUUCAAACAGUACACAGAAUGGGUUAAAAACUCUCUAACUACAGAGGUGGCCCAGUGUAAACCCAUCAGCAACAUUGUGGACAGUAUGGAAAUAGUAGGAUGCAGCUUCAUAAUCGACUCACUGAACACAUUCUGGUUUGGUCUCGGCAGCUGCUGCAUCCUGCUCAUCCCCAGCAUCAUCUUCUCUGUCAAACUGGCCAAGUAUUACAGAAGGAUGGACACAGAGGACGUCUUUGAAGACUCCUCUUACCCAUGGCUUGUUGCACUUUAACAUAGAUAAUUCACGCACUUUCUCAUCUUCUCCCACACACUUACUCGCUUUUUGGAACGGGACUGUUCAGCUUCGAAUCUCUUGAGCUUUUUCACUCUUUCUUCUGAAAUCACGAGCUCGGCAUUUUAGCUCUUAACAUGGACUUUCCCAUCACUGCUCGCGCUCUCUUUCUUUCCGAUGCGAGCGUCGCUCUCUGUGGAUCACUCCAUCCCUGUCACUUUCACAGGAGUCUUCCCCUUUUUCAUCUGCCCCUCCCCUCGUUCUUCUCUUGCAGUAUGGCUAAUACAGGUAAUCACGGUGAACAGGUGUGUGAUAUCCAUGGAAACCUUGCCAUCAGGUACGAGCCGCGUGGAGCUAAAUCUGACUUGCAUGCUGGAGUGUUAAUUGGUGGAGGGAUAUUUGGAGUCCUGUCAGCGUAAAUUUUUAUUUACCACAUAUAGAGAUAUAAAGAAUUCCCUGUGUGUGUGUGUGUGUGUGUGUGUGUGUGUGUGUGUGUGUGUGUGUAUUCAGCUCUCCCUAUUCUGACACUCUGACUCGGUUCCCUCGGGCCUCUGCCCCCCCGAGCUACUCAGUCUGGUGACCCACUGGAACUCUCUCCCUGCUGAUGAGGUAUUGACGAUCACUGAUGACUCCACUAACCCUUACAGCUACGCUAACAACCAGCCAUUGGACAGGAGAACUGGAACUGAUCUUCCCUUUGUGGAUCACUCGGCUGUUUAGGCUUCCGAUUCAGAUCUUUUAACACUUCCGAGGACAAAAGGGAAGAACAAUCGUGAACUCUGGGAUGAAGGCGUCUUUCAGUAGUCCUUCAGGCCAUUUGACAAAACCACUAAUGCCAGCAAAAUCCUAUGAAGUGUUUUCUCGACCCCUUUACCAUUUUAUUAUGUACACCAACAGCUGUAUAUUUAGCUGCAUAGAGAAUCAAUUUGUACUUACAUAAUCAGUUUUAAACAAGGCAACACAAGUGUACAGUUUUUACACUUUCAAGUCAUUUGAAAGUUUUAUAUAUUUUUUGUUAAACUUUGUUUUAUAACAUGUAAGUAGGUUUGUAGUAAUAGCUUUCUUUUUCUCUGUGAAUAUUUGUAAUAUAGCUUACAUAAUUUGCAUCAAACAGGUUGCACUUAGCAGGUGUUUAUUUAAGGAAUGGUUUGACAAUUUGAAAAAAAAAAAAGUAGCUACUCGCUUUCUUUCAGAACUGACACAGAUCACAUCUCUCAUGGGAAUCUACCAAACAGCUGUGCAGCUGUGUUUUUGACCAAAGAGACCAAAGGUAUUGAAUUAUUCAUUUAAGCAGCAAAGCGGCAGCUCUGCUCGGCUCAGUACAUCCUUGAAACAUGAAGACUGCGCAGUUUACUACAAAGUGUUACAAGCUAUUAAAUACACACAUGUGCUUAUUCUAUUGAAUCAGCUUUUAUUUAACUAAAUUUAAUUAAGUUCCUGUUUAUGUUGUUGUUUGUUCAUAAAAACUGUAUGUAGGCUGUCAACUUGUUUGAUCAGCUUCAAAAGUUUGGUAAGCGCUGUUUUAACAGGAUUUAAGGAGCGAUGACACACAAAAUAUCAUGUUUCACCAGACUGUUAAUGAGGGCCUGUUGCUUGUGUUGUCAAAUAAAAUUCCCAGAAGCCUCUGCAAUAUUAAAGGUCUGAAAAACACAACUGGGCUUGUGGUGAGGAUGCAAAUCUCUAAAUAAAAACUCAAAUCCAG